GCGAACUUCGUUGGCGGCUGGAUGGUAAGGAGUAGGGGUCGAGCGGUGGUGGGAAUGUGUGGGCGUACAUGGGGCGGAGGGGGGGUUUUAAGUAUGAUGGGAAAGGCCACGGAUGAGCCGGGGAGGGUUAUUGGAAACUGUGGGACUUGAGUGAAGAAGAGGAAAGCGGAAUUCCACGUGUAGCGGUGAAAUGCGUAGAGAUGUGGAGGAACACCGGUGGCGAAGGCGGCGUUCUGGUCUGUAACUGACGCUGAGGCGCGAAAGCGUGGGGAGCAAACAGGAUUAGAUACCCUUGUAGUC
rnacentral:rRNA from 1 species